GGGGGUAUAGCUCAGUUGGUAGAGCGUCUCGUUCGCAAUGAGAAGGCCAGGGGUUCGAAUCCCCUUACCUCCA
rfam:Verrucomicrobia bacterium SCGC AG-212-E04 AG-212-E04.4, whole genome shotgun sequence.